CUAACUAGUAUCAUGCACAGGCAUAUGCUCCAUGACAGAACAUCCAUCGGUGAUCGCAGGAGCCAACAAAGAGAACAAGAAGGAGUUGGUGGUGGCUUGCAAUGUGGAGAGGUCUCUAUUUUUAUAGUCAGAAAGGGUCCUUGAAAUCUCUGUCACGAUGGCAGUCCAGAGAAGAAGUCUAUGAUCACCACCAGACUGGUGUCAGUGUGGGCGAUCUCCUUCCUCGAACUUGCAUGUGAAGCUUCAGUUUCACUUGCAGACGCAAUCUUGCAGGUCAACCAAGUAAACCUCCUCCCCAUUGUCAAUCUCUAAUGUGUUCAUUCGUGAUCUCAAGCACUGACAAAGGUGAGUGCUGAAACUGAUGGGAACUCGGACUCAGAAAUCCUUUUUUAAGUUCAUGUUUGAAGAGUAUAAUUGAUUGGGAAUUUGCUGCUAA